UUUCCACUUUUCUCCUUUGGUUUCUCAUUUUGUAGACAGUCUAAUAUUUUCCAUAAGAUUGACUGUAUUUUGUAUUGCAGGAAACUAGAGGGUACUGAAUGGUCAAAGAUGAGGGAAAGUUGCUCACUUUUUUCAAGAUUUGAAGAAACUAUGCAGCAUCCAUCCUCGAGAGUGUGUUCGAAGUGUCAGCAGCCAUAUCAAGUUAUGAGGAUACAAUUACUGCAGCAGAAGCACAAAGUGUUUUAUAUCAGUAUAAUUGACUCUGUAAGUGACAUAGUCUGUCCUUAGCAGUGACAACACAGAUGUUUUUAAUAGACCACUCUGUGGCAUGAUUUUGGACAUUGUGACUGCUUAAGCUCUGAGCGAUGUGCCUUAGACUUUCCAUAAAAGGAUGAGAAGCAUUUUGUUAAAACUCACCCAUACAAAGGGUGAGAGAUCCAUCCCAGGAACACGUCAGGCUCUUCAGUAAAGUUUCUGGGAGCUCAGUGAUCUUGGUACAUUAAUACAAACUAUAAGGAGAA